AAUGAACGCUGGCGGCGCGCCUAAUACAUGCAAGUCGUAGCGAGAAGACGUAGCAAUAACGUUUGUAAAGCGGCGAACGGGUGAGGAAUACAUGGGUAACCUACCCUAGAGUGGGGAAGUAACUAGCCGAAAGGUUAGCUAAUACCGCGUACGCUCCUUGGACUUCGGUUCAGGAGGAAAGCGAUACCGAGGGUAUCGCGCUCUUGGAUGGGCUCAUGUCCUAUCAGCUUGUUGGUGAGGUAACGGCUCACC
rnacentral:rRNA from 1 species